rnacentral:misc_RNA from 1 species
UACAGAGACUGCGAGCGUUAUUCGGAUUCACUGGGCGUAAAGGGUGCGCAGGUGGCCAGGUGUGUCAGGUGUGAAAUCCCGGGGCUUAACUCCGGAACUGCGCCUGAAACUGCUUGGCUAGAGCAUUGGAGAGGGUAGUGGAAUUCACGGUGUAGCAGUGAAAUGCGUAGAUAUCGUGAGGAACACCAGAGGCGAAGGCGACUACCUGGACAAUAGCUGACACUCAGGCACGAAAGCGUGGGGAGCCAAAGGG